CCUUGGCCUGUGGUUGGGGGUCCUGCGGCUGGGACCCGCCCCUGACCCCUCCCUGCCCAGAGGGGCUGUCUUUGGGUGCAGAAGGAGCUGGUGGGGUCCAGCCGGGUGACCCAGACCGAGGCCGGCAGAAGACAGCCUGAUGCCUUGAAGACUUCCUCUUGCACUUUUGUUGGAGGGUGCUGGUUUGCUAAAAGCAGAGAGUAUUUUUCUUUUUAUUUAUUUUGUUUUUAAUUUUUUAAUUUUAGCUCCAGCUCAGUUGCCCAGACUGGAGAGCAGUGACCAAUCAUAGCUUACUGCCUCCUGGAACUCCUGGCUCAAUCGAUCCUCCUGGAUUAGCCUCCUCCGGGUACUAUAGCUUCAUGGCGGCUGAAGAGAUGCAUUGGCCUGUCCCUAUGAAGGCCAUUGGUGCCCAGAACCUGCUAACCAUGCCUGGGGGCGUGGCCAAGGCUGGCUACCUGCACAAGAAGGGCGGUACCCAGCUGCAGCUGCUGAAAUGGCCCCUGCGCUUUGUCAUCAUCCACAAACGCUGCGUCUACUACUUCAAGAGCAGCACCUCCGCCUCCCCGCAGGGCGCCUUCUCCCUGAGUGGUUAUAACCGGGUGAUGCGGGCGGCUGAGGAGACCACGUCCAACAACGUUUUCCCCUUCAAGAUCAUCCACAUCAGCAAGAAGCACCGCACGUGGUUCUUCUCGGCCUCCUCCGAGGAGGAGCGCAAGGUGACUGGGGGUCCAAGGACGAGUGCAAGGUGACUGGGGGUGUGGGCCUGCAGGCACCAGGCUGGACCUGCCUUGGGGGCUCGCUGGUCCUGGGGCGCUGGCCUCUCAGUCCCGGGCAAAGAGAAGGUGUGGCUGGGACACAGGCAGCUGGGUGGGUGCUGCCCCAGCUCCAUCCCCAUGCCCAGAGCCUGGUGCCAGCGCCCACACAAGAAACAUGCUGUCCUGGGAGGUGCCCCUGUGGGCUGAGGGGAGCCACACAGCCAUGUUGUAUCCAGCCGGGUCGCCUCCUCUGACCUUGGGAGUCACAGCAGAGCAGGCAGGGCAGUGAAGGUGGAGGGGUGCGGUGGGGCCCACCCUGGUGGCACCGUGCC
rnacentral:sRNA from 1 species